rnacentral:rRNA from 1 species
GAUGAACGCUGGCGGCGUGCCUAAUACAUGCAAGUCGAGCGAACGGACGAGAAGCUUGCUUUUCUGAUGUUAGCUGCGGACGGGUGAGUAACACGUGGAUAACAUACCUAUAAGACUGGGAUAACUUCGGGAAACCGGAGCUAAUACCGGAUAAUAUUUUGAACCGCAUGGUUCAAAAGUGAAAGACGGUCUUGCUGUCACUUAUAGAUGGAUCCGCGCUGCAUUAGCUAGUUGGUAAGGUAACGUCUUACCAAGGCAACGAUGCAUAGCCGACCUGAGAGGGUGAUCGGCCACACUGGAACUGAGACACGGUCCAGACUCCUACGGGAGGCAGCAGUAGGGAAUCUUCCGCAAUGGGCGAAAGCCUGACGGAGCAACGCCGCGUGAGUGAUGAAGGUCUUCGGAUCGUAAAACUCUGUUAUUAGGGAAGAACAUAUGUGUAAGUAACUGUGCACAUCUUGACGGUACCUAAUCAGAAAGCCACGGCUAACUACGUG